rnacentral:misc_RNA from 1 species
GAAAUGCGAUAAGUAAUGUGAAUUGCAGAAUUCAGUGAAUCAUCGAAUCUUUGAACGCACAUUGCGCCCGCCAGUAUUCUGGCGGGCAUGCCUGUUCGAGCGUCAUUUCAACCAUCAAGCCCCCGGCUUGUGUUGGGGACCUGCGGCUGCCCGCAGGCCCUGAAAACCAGUGGCGGGCUCGCUGUCACACCGAGCGUAGUAGCAUACAUCUCGCUCAGGGCGUGCUGCGGGUUCCGGCCGUUAAAAGCCUUUUUUACCCAAGGUUGACCUCGGAUCAGGUAGGAAGACCCGCUGAACUUAUGC